rnacentral:tRNA from 1 species
GAUAUAGCUCAGAGGUAGAGCAUUUGCCUAGCAUGUGCAAGGCCCUGGGUUCCAUCCCCAGGAUAAAACA